rnacentral:rRNA from 1 species
CCUACGGGUGGCAGCAGUGAGGAAUAUUGGGCAAUGGGCGCGAGCCUGAACCAGCCAAGUAGCGUGAAGGAUGACUGCCCUACGGGUUGUAAACUUCUUUUAUAAAGGAAUAAAGUGAGGCACGUGUGCCUUUUUGUAUGUACUUUAUGAAUAAGGAUCGGCUAACUCCGUGCCAGCAGCCGCGGUAAUACGGAGGGGCCGGGCGUUAUCCGGAUUUAUUGGGUUUAAAGGGAGCGUAGAUGGGUUGUUAAGUCAGUUGUGAAAGUUUGGGGCUCAACCGUAAAACUGAAAUUGAUACUGGCAGUCUGGAGUGCAGUUGAGGUAGGCGGAAUUCGUGGUGUAGCGGUGAAAUGCUUAGAUAUCACGAAGAACUCCGAUUGCGAAGGCAGCUUACUAAACUGCCACUGACAUUGAUGCUCGAAAGUGUGGGUAGCAAACAGGAUUAGAUACCCCAGUAGUC